CAGCAGCCGCGGUAAUACGUAGGGUGCGAGCGUUAAUCGGAAUUACUGGGCGUAAAGCGUGCGCAGGCGGUUCGUUAAGACAGAUGUGAAAUCCCCGGGCUUAACCUGGGAACUGCAUUUGUGACUGACGGGCUAGAGUACGGCAGAGGGGGAUGGAAUUCCGCGUGUAGCAGUGAAAUGCGUAGAUAUGCGGAGGAACACCGAUGGCGAAGGCAAUCCCCUGGGCCUGUACUGACGCUCAUGCACGAAAGCGUGGGGAGCAAACAGGAUUAGAUACCCGUGUAGUCCCUGUCUCUUAUAA
rnacentral:rRNA from 1 species